rnacentral:rRNA from 1 species
ACAGCCCUACCGCUAGCCCAAUUACCAUUCUUAAAAUUUAAAGCUUAUUAACAAUAAAUAACCUAAAUUUUCCCUAAAACAAAACAUUUUUCCCCCUAAGUAACAGGCGAUAGAAAAGGAACAAUGGAGCAAUAGAUAAAGUACCGCAAGGGAACGCUGAAAUAGAAAUGAAACAAUUACUUAAGCCCAAAAUAGCAGAGACUCCCCCUCGUACCUUUUGCAUCAUGAUUUAGCAAGUAAAGCCCAAGCAAAGAGACCUAUAGUUUGAGACCCCGAAACUAUCGCGAGCUACUUCAAGACAGCCCAACUGGGGCUCACCCGUCCCUGUGGCAAAAGGGUGGGGAGAUCUUUGAGUAGAGGUGACAAGCCUACCGAGCAUAGUUAUAGCUGGUUACCUGAGAAAUGAAUAUAAGUUCAGCCCCCCGGCUUCCUCCCCCCUACCAGUUCUACUAAUAUAGACUUCAGGAAACCAGAGGAGUUAGUUAAAGGAGGUACAGCUCCUUUUUAACAGAAACACCUUUCAUAGAUGGUCAAAGAUCAUA